UUCUUGGUGGUCCAGUGGUUAGGACUCUGGGCUUUCACUGCCAAGGGCACGGGUUCAAUCCCUGAUCAGGGAA
rnacentral:tRNA from 1 species